rnacentral:tRNA from 1 species
CAGGGCGUAAUUUAAAUAGAAUGCUGGCUUUGGGGGUCAGUAGUGAAGGUUAAAACCCUUUUGCCCUGA